CUCUCGCGAAGCCUUGCUUGGCCUC
rnacentral:piRNA from 1 species